rnacentral:tRNA from 1 species
AUUAAUAUGGCUGAAUUAAAGUGUAAGUCUGUAAAACUUAUUAUGAAUUUUAUAAUUUUAUUAAUA